rnacentral:rRNA from 1 species
GAUGAACGCUGGCGGCGUGCCUAAUACAUGCAAGUCGAACGAACUAAUUUAUUAGUGAGUGGCGAACGGGUGAGUAAUACAUAAGUAACCUGCCCUAGACAGGGGGAUAACUACUGGAAACGGUAGCUAAAACCGCAUAGGUAUGGGAAUCGCAUGAUUGCCAUAUUAAAAGUGCUAAGGCACUGGUAGAGGAUGGACUUAUGGCGCAUUAGCUAGUUGGUAGGGUAAAGGCUUACCAAGGCGACGAUGCGUAGCCGACCUGAGAGGGUGACCGGCCACACUGGGACUGAGACACGGCCCAGACUCCUACAGGAGGCAGCAGUGGGGAAUAUUGCACAAUGGGCGCAAGCCUGAUGCAGCCAUGCCGCGUGUGUGAAGAAGGCCUUAGGGUUGUAAAGCACUUUCAGCGGGGAGGAAGGGUAUAGGCUUAAUACGUUUAUACAUUGACGUUACCCGCAGAAGAAGCACCGGCUAACUCUGUGCCAGCAGCCGCCGCAGUAACAC